GCUACUUCGGGAUAAGCUUGGGAAACUGGGUCUAAUACCGGAUAGGAGCCAUCUUUAGUGUGGUGCUUGGAAAGUUUUUUCGGUGUAGGAUGAGCUCGCGGCCUAUCAGCUUGUUGGUGGGGUAAUGGCCUACCAAGGCGGCGACGGGUAGCCGGCCUGAGAGGGUGUACGGCCACAUUGGGACUGAGAUACGGCCCAGACUCCUACGGGAGGCAGCAGUGGGGAAUAUUGCACAAUGGGCGCAAGCCUGAUGCAGCGACGCCGCGUGGGGGAUGAAGGCCUUCGGGUUGUAAACUCCUUUCGCUAGGGACGAAGCUUUGUGUGACGGUACCUAGAUAAGAAGCACCAGCUAACUACGUGCCAGCAGCCGCGGUAAUACGUAGGGUGCGAGCGUUGUCCGGAAUUACUGGGCGUAAAGAGCUCGUAGGUGGUUUGUCGCGUCGUCUGUGAAAUUCUGGGGCUUAACUCCGGGCGUGCAGGCGAUACGGGCAUAACUUGAGUGCUGUAGGGGUAACUGGAAUUCCUGGUGUAGCGGUGAAAUGCGCAGAUAUCAGGAGGAACACCGAUGGCGAAGGCAGGUUACUGGGCAGUUACUGACGCUGAGGAGCGAAAGC
rnacentral:rRNA from 1 species